GUUCGCCCACAACUUCACUUCGAUAAACUUCGUCAUUUAGUGGUGAUCGAAACAUCGAUGUGUGUGGAAGUGAGGUGUAACUUUUCUAACAUUUCUCACAAAAUUUACAAUAACCAGUAACCAAAAGUAAUAUUUCUUAUUCGAACGUGUUGGCAUAAACUUUUUCACGUGACACGAGUUUUAGAAACAUUAGUCAAAAUGUGUGAUACUAAUAAUCCUUCGACACAAAGUAUAGCGGACUACUUAGCUCAGUUGCUCAAAGACAGGAAGCAACUGGCCGCGUUCCCGAAUGUUUUCAUGCACAUGGAGCGACUGCUGGAUGAAGAAAUAGCAAAAGUGCGAGCGAGUUUAUUCCAAAUAAAUGGCGUCAAAAAAGAACCGCUGGUGUUACCAGAAGCAGAAGGCAUGGUCACCACACUCACAGAAAAAGUCUACGUACCUGUAAAAGAGCAUCCAGAUUUCAACUUCGUGGGAAGAAUUCUCGGCCCCCGAGGCAUGACAGCUAAACAGCUGGAACAAGAAACAGGAUGCAAAAUCAUGGUCAGAGGAAAAGGAUCCAUGAGAGACAAGAAAAAGGAGGACGCCAACAGAGGCAAGCCGAACUGGGAGCACCUAGCGGACGAUCUGCACGUGCUGCUCACAGUCGAAGACACAGAGAACCGCGCCAAGGUGAAGCUGGCGCGGGCUGUCGAUGAAGUGAAGCGUCUGCUUAUACCUCAAGCGGAUGGCGAAGAUGAGCUGAAGAAGCGUCAGCUGAUGGAGCUUGCCAUCAUCAACGGCACGUACCGCGACUCCAGCGCCAAGGCCGUGCCCGUCAACGGUCAGUGCCUCAUAAUGGAAUCCGCAGCCGACGAAGAGUGGAGGCGGCUGGCUGCCUCGGCCGCCGCGGAAACCCAGCGGCUUCUGAACCCCGGCGGAGGGGUCACUCUGAGGACGCAAGCACCCUUGGGGGCUCCCCUGAUCCUCUCACCGAGGAUGUCGGGCCAAGCGCAGGGUCUGCUCAACGGGUCUUCAGGCACUGGGCUCCUGUCUCCUGGCGAGCCGGCCCACCAGCUCAUCUACGCUCCUCAGUACGCUGACUACGCUAACUACGCUGCGCUGACGGCCGCCGCCAACCCGCUGCUGACCGCCGAGUACGCCGCCGCCGACCAUACGGCUACGAGGUAUCUGCUAGCUGGCUUUUGACACUGGCCACAUUCGCACCAGCCUUCACUAAGAUACGAGAGGCUCGCCGCGCCAUACCGGCCCGAACAACAAUAUUACCGUCCUUGAAAACAUUAAAAUACAUCAAACGUGGCGCGUUGCCAGUUUUCUGGACAUCGACAGCGGUGUUGAAAGCCUAUCGCUGUCCCGCUCGCAUAAAACUGGCAACGUAGCAAAACAGGGCGCUCUGUUAACAGUCAUUUCAAAGCCAUCAUCGUUUUUAGUCUAAGUUUUAUUAUAAGUGCGACUAGUGUAGCUACGUAUCAACUUUGUACCCACGACGUUUAUGUCCUGUUUAAUUUUACUGUCUUCCUCUGAGACAUCUGUUUUGUACAGUUCCAGGCAAAGUAUAUUUUGUUUGAGUAAAGAUUAUUUAUUUAUACAGAUUUUAUAUUUGAGAAAGGAUAUAAUGACUAUUCAAGUAUUUAUUGCAGAUUCUUUAUUAAUGUUGCCUCUUAUUAAGAACUGAUGGCAGUUGAUGCGUUAUUAAUUAGAUAGAAAUGGCGAUUAUUAGAUGUUGUAACUGCCAUCAAAAUCUACAAGUUACCGAAAUCUUAUGUAGGUACAAACGUAUAGAUUUUAUAAAAUAUAUUAAUAUUAUUCAUAUAUCCCUGUUUUUGCUAAUAAUUAUAGAUUUCUUACAUACAUGGUAUACGCUUCAUUUCGAAACGAAAAAAAAAAUAAUAACUAACCACAAAUUAAAACCUUUAAAAUUAUCUUGCGUACUACCAUUUAUAGGUUCGUUUUAAACACGUAGUAUGUAGUCUAUAUUAGGAACUAUAUCACUCUUUUAAUAACCCUUGCUUGUAACACAACUAAUAAAUAUUAUAUUAACAUGAUUACACCCAUUUCUUAAACGUUUUUUUCCGAUCAAUAGAGUAAUCUGUAGUAUCUUGUUCAUAAAAGGAAGAACCUACGCAACAGUUUCUUAUACUAAGCAUCUUGUUAUGCGGUAUCGGUAAUACAUAACUUAUAUGCCCACCAGCAUUGAAAAAAAGCAUUGAAAUUUAAAUAUUUUAAAAUUGCAUUUAAUAUACUUACUUACUAUUUCAUAUUUAGUUUCAUUCAGAAUUUUUACCAUAGGUUUAUGGUAUAUUUUUAAUUUUACUUUUAUGCUUCCUGUAAUACAGUAAAGUUUCAAUUUAAAACUUUUUUGGACAAGAUACGUACAGACUAUGAAAUUAUAAAAGUAUUUCUUGUGUGAAUAACGGAUUGAGCUCAUUUGUGUAGCAAAUUAACAUUCUAGAAUAUUAUUUUCAAGACGAAAUCAUUCAGCAAUUACAAGCUAAAGGGGACCAAAUACGAUUUGAUUUAUUUACUGGAAACAUUCACACUGACACUCUUGAUUUUUUAACAAUUCUGACAUAAAUAACAAGACUAUUAAACUUAAAAAUAACGCGGGGUAAUACAUCACUGUAGGCAGUUUCCCGAAUGUUUAAUUCAAAUACGUCGUUAUUUAUUAAUUUAUUAGCCAUAUAUUUAUAAACAUACCAUAGGUUAAGGUUAUUAUCUUUUAAAGAUUUCUAGAUAGGUUAGAAAAGAGUGAGCUUUAUGGAAAAUAUAUACCCGUAAUGUAUUAUGUAGAUUUAUUUGUAUCGCAGUUAUUGCUGUUAAGUCAAUUUAUAUUAGAAAAAAAACUUUGAAGCCAGCCAUUACUUGUACCUUGUUUGGGUUGCAUUAUACCCAGUAAUGUUUUAAUAACUUUUUUAUUAUUUCUCCAAAGCAAUAUAAUAAAAAUAGAUAAUCUUUAGGCUAAGCAAAUAAAUAUACUUAUUAUAUAUACAAAAAGUUAAAUAUUACUGCCAGAACAAAAAUAUGAUAAAAAAUUAGUAUUAAAUUGAUAGAAAAAUAAUUUGGCAGUGAUACGUAACAAUUUGCGUUCGUGUAAUCUUUAAGUAAAUAAAUAAGUAAUAGUUAAGGAUAAUGAGAUUACAUUACUUUUCAGCAUUUAAAUAGAGCUUGGCCCUUUGGAUCUUGAUCAAUGUAACAGUCGUAAGAUGUGAAAUUAAAAUUAGAUCCUCAAGGCGCGGCUAUGUUUGGGUGAUGGUUUUAAACUAAAGGUGUGUUAUAUGAGACACAGAUGAUAAUGUACGAAUGCCGAUAGGUGUGGUGCGGAGGGCUGCCGGUCGCUUAACGCAAGUGAGGGAACACCCUUACCAGCGCACGGCCUUGCCAGCGCCCUAAGCCCGCCGAAAUACCCUUACUGCCGCCAUUUUGUUCACAAGGUGAGUGCUAACGACGAGGAGGAACUAACAGGAGUCGCGGCCGCCCACGAUCUCGACCAAUCCUGGCCAAUCCUGGCCAAACCCAGCCAACCUCGGCCAACCUCGGCCAAAGCCGCCGCGUAACACUCUCAUCGGAACAUCGACCACAUGUAGCUAUAUCGCUGUUGGGCCUUUCACGUUAACAACUACUAUGUAUUAUAAUAGUCUAACUAUUAACAUUUAUUUGCCUGUUAUGUUUAUAACAAGAUGAACUUAUAUCAUUAACCAUAUUUUUCUCUAAAUGGCACACGCCAUCGACUAUACUAUUUACAUUUUUGUUACUUUACUGUUUGUUGUUGCUUUGUCGUAUUGUUGCGUGUCUACUGUUCCACGCAAGUGGUUGUUAGGUUACCCGAAAUUCCUUUUUUAGCUUUGUAUAGGGAUUAUAUUAAUAAACUAUACUUAAUUAUUUUGUAGACAAUAUAUUAUGUCGGUCAUUUAUGUAUAAUGAUCUGAAAAAGUUCAAACAAAUCCCUGUACAAAACUUAUUAUUAUGAAAAGAUAAAGAACUUACCAACUUUUUGGUACUGCAAUCAGCCUAUCUAACACUUUUUUCAAAUAAAGAGAAAUAGGGUUCUAGAACUUGAAAAAACAAAUCAGUUUCAAAUUUCAAAGUUGACUUUUUAGUUGUUUUUCAAUUCAAUUUAACUCUUGAUGUUAAAGUUACUAAGUAUUUAGUAACUACUUACUUAUUUUAAAAUAUAUUUUUCUUUUUUGAAAGGCAUAGUGAUAUAAUGAAUAUACUAUUAAAUUAUUUAAAUCAGUGAAAAUAUUUAUUAUGAAAGCAGCAUUGUCAUCAUGGCGGCAAGAACACCAGUAAGUAAGUAUAGUUUACAAAAAAUGAUGCGAAAAUAAAACGAAAAAGUUUUUUUUUAUAUAAAUUAUAAAUAAUCAAGUUAGACUGAUAUUGGAGUUAAUAGUCUAAUCUUAAGUUUUGUUCUCAUAUACUUAUUGACCCCCCAAUCUUUGGCAAUAAUGAAAUGUUAUACGUGAUUAACCAAAGACUAUGUUAAAUCAUUCGAGAGCUAAUCAAAUUAUGAACUGUUAUCGUAAAAUUUGUCUUCCGUGAUAUUUAAAACGGUCAAUGAGUAUAUGAUAUUUUCUAGAUUUAUAUUUUAUAGCAAUGUAUUUAAGAUAUUUAAGUGCUUAAUAAUAUUGAGAACAUAACAAAUCAAUGAAUAUUUGUGCAUCCGAAGUGCCUUAUUAAUGUACAAUGUUUUUUUUCGCGUUUGUGGUUCUAUAGUUUUUUGUUAAUGCUUGAUUAGUUAAGAUGGAGGAGAUUAAAUUAUUGUUAACUCUGCUAAGUAAAUGUUAUUUUUAGUAUGUGAACAUAGGUUCCAAAAAUAUGAAAUAGGUUUCAUUGAUAUUACAAUGUCAUUUUCAUUUUGGUGUUAGGUUUAAUAUUUUAGUAAAAAGGAUCCAGUUCAGCAACUAUUCUAUGAAUCUUCAUAUUAUCAUAAUUAUUUACUCACAACAGUUGCAUAACAAAGGCCUCAGCAAAAAAUAAAAUAUGAAUUAUAAAAAACGCAUUACGGAUCCUUUGUAUAAAUAAGAACGUAAAAUUCAUCUAUAUUUCUUAAAUCUCGAGCCGAGAAUCUCUUCACUAACUAUCUUGAUCAUGCUUAGUCUAAAAUAUAUCAAAAUACAGUUAAAAAGGUAUUAAAUUAAGUAUCUGAUUUCAAAAAAAUGUUGAGUCUACAAAAAAAAACAUAAUAUCAUAUGAACCUUGUUAUAUUUGUAAAUAAAUAUGGGUUGUUGUAAAAAGCAAUAAUAUCUAUAGUGCAAUUAAAUUGAAAGAUAUUUUAUGAAAAUCUCAAUAUAUACAAUUUUAACUUGAGAAUUUCAAGAUAGAAGAAUAGAGAUCUGAAAUGGAGAUUAAUAUCUACUUAUAUUAUUUAGAAUAGAAAAAUACCUACGACGUUAGUUUACGAAGAAAACUAUUCACUGUUAUGAAAUUAAUCUAUUUUAUAUCUUAAGUGCCACCGUUGAAUGAAACACAGUUUUUUUUUCUCUUUUUUAUAAGGAGCUUUGCAAAAUUUUCACUUUCCCCAUUUUUUUUCUUAAAACGUUAUGUUUUCACUCCGUCCAUGAUUAGUAUCAUAAUUUUCUAAGUACUUAAAUUGUUGGUCUCCCCCUCAUUAAGUUCGUCUAUGGCCAAAUGAUAAAGAUUGUUUUUUUUCUUUUGAGUUCACAAACUGUUCUCGCUAAGCCCAUUUUUAUUGUUAAGUUAUUAUAAGUCUAUUCGUACAAAAUCAUACAAAAAUUGAGCAUUUAUUGAAUGUAUUAAAGAGCCAUACAAUAUGAAAGCCAUGGCUGCCCUUUUAGACAAAAAAUCAUUCGACAAAUACAAAGAAUGGUUGGUUUCUAUCCUGCCCUCUAAAAAUAAUAUGUAUGUGCCUACUGAGAUAGCAGUAUUUUUCAGAGUUUUCAUUCACAAUCUGUAAAAAUGGUCCAGGUCAUUGAUAGAGAGUAGUAGAAACCAUCCAUAAAUGAUUUAUCGAAAGGAUUUCGUCACAGGGCAGCUACUUAAGGCUCUUACUGUCAGCGGCAGCGUACAAAUAUAUUUAAACAUCUGCUAAAUUAAUUAUUAAAUACUAUUAUUCAUAGUAAAACGUUUGUGUCUAGAAACGUAUCUUGUGCCAUCAGCAGAUUACAAACAACAUCAUGUCGAUUUUUUAAAAUAUAGUUUUUAUUUAAGGUGUACUUAUACGUUAUGGCAAUUUCACUAUUAAUGUGCCUUAAAAUGAACUUUGUAUAUAAAAUAUCAAUAUUAUUUGUCUUUUAAGUAUUAUACCUGAGAAUAACAAAUUCUUUAAUCAAUUGUUUUCCAAAAACAAAUAUUAUAGAGAGAAUACUUUUAUUACUUUAUCUUUGUAGUUAAGUGAGAUCGUGCAUUAUGUCUGUUUUGAUGUAAGUGUGUUCAUAUUGAUUUGGUAUUAGUAAACAUUUUGAAAAAUAAUGAA